CGGCGUGCCUAAUACAUGCAAGUCGAGCGAACAGAUAAGGAGCUUGCUCCUUUGACGUUAGCGGCGGACGGGUGAGUAACACGUGGAUAACCUACCUAUAAGACUGGGAUAACUUCGGGAAACCGGAGCUAAUACCGGAUAACAUAUUGAACCGCAUGGUUCAAUAGUGAAAGGCGGCUUUGCUGUCACUUAUAGAUGGAUCCGCGCCGUAUUAGCUAGUUGGUAAGGUAACGGCUUACCAAGGCAACGAUACGUAGCCGACCUGAGAGGGUGAUCGGCCACACUGGAACUGAGACACGGUCCAGACUCCUACGGGAGGCAGCAGUAGGGAAUCUUCCGCAAUGGGCGAAAGCCUGACGGAGCAACGCCGCGUGAGUGAUGAAGGUCUUCGGAUCGUAAAACUCUGUUAUCAGGGAAGAACAAAUGUGUAAGUAACUGUGCACAUCUUGACGGUACCUGAUCAGAAAGCCACGGCUAACUACGUGCCAGCAGCCGCGGUAAUACGUAGGUGGCAAGCGUUAUCCGGAAUUAUUGGGCGUAAAGCGCGCGUAGGCGGUUUUUUAAGUCUGAUGUGAAAGCCCACGGCUCAACCGUGGAGGGUCAUUGGAAACUGGAAAACUUGAGU
rnacentral:rRNA from 1 species